GCCCCUGUAGCUCAGAUGGUUAGAGCGCGGUACUUAUAAUGCCGAUGUCGAGGGUUCGAGUCCCUUCAGGGGCA
rnacentral:tRNA from 2 species